CCUACGGGGGGCAGCAGUAGGGAAUCUUUCACAAUGGGCGAAAGCCUGAUGGAGCAACGCCGCGUGCAGGAUGAAGGCCUUCGGGUUGUAAACUGCUUUUAUAAGCGAGAAAUAUGAUGGUAACUUAUGAAUAAGGAUCGGCUAACUACGUGCCAGCAGCCGCGGUCAUACGUAGGAUCCGAGCAUUAUCCGGAGUGACUGGGGGUAAAGAGUUGCGUAGGUGGCAUAAUAAGUAGCUAGUGAAAUCUGGUGGCUCAACCAUUCAGACUAUUAGCGAAACUGUUAAGCUCGAGACCGUUAGGGGUAACUGGAAUUUCUAGUGUAGGGGUGAAAUCCGUAGAUAUUAGAAGGAACACCAAUAGCGUAGGCAGGUUGCUGGGACGGUUCUGACGCUAAGGCACGAAAGCGUAGGGAGCAAACGGGAUUAGAUACCCUGGUAGUC
rnacentral:rRNA from 1 species